AGCAGCCGCGGUAAUUCCAGCUCCAAUAGCGUAUAUUAAAGUUGUUGCAGUUAAAAAGCUCGUAGUUGAAUUUCGGGGUUAGCAGGUCGGUCGUGCCAUCGGUAUGAACUGGUCUCGCUGAUCCCUCCCUCUUGACGAACUGUGAUGCCAUUAAUUUGGUGUCGCAGGGAAUCAGGACUGUUACUUUGAAAAAUUAGAGUGUUUAAAGCAGGCUCACGCUUGAAUACAUUAGCAUGGAAUAAUGAAAUAGGACGUUUGAUCCUAUUUUGUUGGCUUCUAGGAUUGACGUAAUGAUUAAUAGGGAUAGUUGGGGGCAUUAGUAUUCAAUUGUCAGAGGUGAAAUUCUUGGAUUUAUUGAAGACUAACUACUGCGAAAGCAUUUGCCAAGGAUGUUUUCAUUAAUCAAGAACGAAAGUUAGGGGAUCGAAGACGAUCAGAUACCGUCGUAGUCUUAACCAUAAACUAUGCCGACUAGGGAUCGGAUGAUGUUAAUUUUUAAUGACUCAUUC
rnacentral:misc_RNA from 1 species